rnacentral:rRNA from 1 species
UACGUAGGUGGCAAGCGUUGUCCGGAUUUACUGGGCGUAAAGAGCGCGCAGGCGGUCGUUCAAGUCGAGUGUGAAAGCCCCCGGCUCAACUGGGGAGGGUCAUUCGAUACUGAUCGACUCGAAGGCAGGAGAGGGUAGUGGAAUUCCUGGUGUAGCGGUGAAAUGCGCAGAUAUCAGGAGGAACACCGGUGGCGAAGGCGGGUCUCUGGGCCGAUACUGACGCUGAGGAGCGAAAGCGUGGGGAGCGAACAGG